GCCUUUGGCUUAACCAAAGAAGUGCAUCGGAAACUGUCAGGCUUGGGUGCAGAAGAGGACAGUGUAACUCCAUGUGUAGCGGUGGAAUGCGUAGAUAUAUGGAAGAACACCAGUGGCGAAGGCGGCUGUCUGGUCUGCAACUGACGCUGAGGCUCGAAAGCAUGGGUAGCGAACAGGAUUAGAUACCCUGGUAGUCCAUGCCGUAAACGAUGAGUGCUAAGUGUUGGGAGGUUUCCGCCUCUCAGUGCUGCAGCUAACGCAUUAAGCACUCCGCCUGGGGAGUACGACCGCAAGGUUGAAACUCAAAGGAAUUGACGGGGGCCCGCACA
rnacentral:rRNA from 1 species